rnacentral:rRNA from 1 species
ACUCAAAUGAAUAGACGGGGACCCGCACAAGCAGCGGAGCGUGUGGUUUAAUUCGAUGCGACGCGAAUAACCUUACCAAGGCUUGACAUGUAUUCGCAACACCGAGAAAUCGGUGCCUCCGCAAGGACGGAUACACAGAUGCUGCAUGGCUGUCGUCAGCUCGUGUCGUGAGAUGUUGGGUUAAGUCCCGCAACGAGCGCAACCCUUGUCCUUAGUUGCAUAUCUAGGGAGACCGCCGGAAACAAACCGGAGGAAGGUGGGGAUGAAGUCAAGUCCGCAUGGCUCUUACGUCUUGGGCUACACACACGCUACAAUGGCCGGUACAACAAGAAGCCACCCCGCAAGGGGGAGCAGACCUCCAAAACCGGCCCCAGUUCAGAUUGCACUCUGCAACUCGAGUGCAUGAAGUCGGAGUUGCUAGUAACCGCGUGUCAGCAUAGCGCGGUGAAUAUGUUCCCGGGUCUUGCACACACCGCCCGU